AGACGUCUACAUUAGAUACCCGCGUAGUCCCAGCCGUAAACUAUGCGCGUUAGGUGUAUCGGUGACCACGAGUCACCGAGGUGCCGAAGGGAAACCGUGAAACGUGCCGCCUGGGAAGUACGGUCGCAAGGCUGAAACUUAAAGGAAUCGGCGGGGAGCACCACAACGGGUGGAGCCUGCGGUUUAAUUGGACUCAACGCCGGGAAGCUCACCGGAUAAGACAGCGGAAUGAUUGCCGGGCUGAAGACUCUGCAUGACUAGCUG
rnacentral:rRNA from 1 species